rnacentral:lncRNA from 1 species
CUAAGACCAACCAAAUCCCCAGUCAAAAAUAUCCCAAAACAAGCUCAAAACCUACCCUCUACCCUCAGAAAGUAGGGUAAGGUCUGCUUAACAAUCUAUCCUCUCCGAACCCCACUUAUGGAAUUGCACAGAGUAUGCUGUAGUUGAGCUCAAAACCUAGAAAUGAAAUGUUCAAAUAACUGAAAAGUUCCAAACUUUAACCCUUCAAAAAAGAAAAACUCAUCUAUCAAACCAAUUUAACAUUGCAGCAAAAUGUUAAUAAAAAGGGGACAAAAUUAACAAAUUACCAGGAACUGGGAAACGACUCUUCGAAAGUUUUUUAGCAUAAUCUUCGUUAUCAGACCCAAAAAGGUCCUUAUAAUCAUCAUCAUCCUCUUCAUUCUGAUGAUACCCACUGCUAUUAUUAUUAUUAUAAUCGUUAUUACAUAGAGAAAUCACUUCGACGGUAUCAUCCUCAUCCGCUUCUCUUUCACUCCCACUUCCACUUCCACUAUCACUACUUCUACUCCUAUUAGACGAUGAAAAACGCGAAGAAGAACCCGAUGAAGACGAUGACGAUGCGGCGGCGCCUGAAGAAGUAGAUGAUGAUGAUUGUGAUGCUGAAGAUGGUGAUGAUUGAUUACUCUCUUGCCGUUGCCUUUGUUCUUCUUCAUCUUGGUGGUUUGAAUAGUUUUCUUAUUCCUGUUGUUCGUCUUCAUCUUCUUCUUCUCCGAAUAAACGUUUCAACCGAUUCGUCAUCUUCGCCUCCAUUGUAGAGGCGGUCGAUUGGUGGUAUAACGGCGGAGUUGGUGGGUGGCUGGCUGUUUUCCGAUUUCGAUCUUUGCUAGUGUUAGCGUAACAAAUUGAGAUGUUUUCCGGGAGUUUUUGGUAUUUAUGGAAUGUACAGGGGGUAUAGUGCAAAUAUUGAAAACUAUGAUCCAUGGGCUUUGAAAACCUUAACGUCUCUCUCAAGUCCAAUUUGUUUUUCUAAGGCCCAAUUAGAUAUUUAUCUGAUGGGCCAUUUUGGGCACUAUGGCAAUUCUGAUUUUGUUUGAGUAAGUAUGGAGUAACUUUGUCCACAAACUUUGGACGUUAGUCGGUAAAUCGAGUUGAUAUUUAUUUUUUUUCCUUUAUUUUAUAAGAACUUAGAGUUCCGAAUUUAGGAGAAGUUUUUUCAAGAAAAUAAACAAAGAAGAAAGAAGAAGAGGGGAUUGAAAUUAAUAAAAUACUAUAGUAUCUAGUAUACUAGUACAAACGUAGAAUAACAACAACAAUAUUACAAGUGACAACAACAUAUAUCGGUGGAUAAUGAUAAAUAUAUCACGAUACAAAAUAUAGAAAGAGUAAUACACCAUCAGAAUACAUGUUUUAUAGUAGGUAACAUACCUUAUAAAGACUUCAUAAGGAAGGAAGCAUAUAUAUGAUAAGUAAGAUAACGAACGAGGAACAAAUCCUUGAGUAAGCAUUAUUGAUUUGAUACAAUUACACCAGAGGCAGAGGUAGAGGAUUUGUUUGAGUUUCAGGGUAUUGGUCUUGUUCAUUCACACUAUUAUUGUUGUCAAACUCCCCAUUGAUGAAAAUGCUAAAUCUUGGAAUUGUGGCGAAAAUACGCAUAAUCCAUUCGCAGAAGCUAGUACAUGUAUUGAAAAUCCAAGAAGAACAUGAAAGUAUAAUGGUAAUGAAGAAAAUGUACCAAAAUAACAUUUGUGGGAGUAGAAGUGAGGCUAAGCAUAGGAUAAAAAGGGAUUUGUUGAAAUAUCCUGAAUAUAUUAUGUGUAUCGCCGUAAUUGGAUGAUGAAUUGUUAUACGAAAGAUGGAAAAAGGAAUGGAAAAUAAUAAAAGGAAGAAGAGUUUGUUCAUAAAUUCCAUUAAAGUUGGGUAAUUGAGAUGAUUGGCAAAUAUGUGGAAAGGAUCCCAAUUAUCAGAAAUAGAUAAUGUGGAUUUGAGGAUGUUAAUUAUAAUCACGAUCAAGUAUCUUAGAUCAAACGCCAUAAUCUUUUUGAAGCUUUUUUGGUGUUUCGUCUUAAGCUCUUUGGAUCAAAUUUUAUAGUGUGAGUACUCUUUGGAUCAGAUUUUAUAGUGGUGGGUCCGUUUAUUUCCCUUUUAUCAAUGGCCGGUAAUUCUUUCUUCUACAUCCCUUUGGGUCCCUUUAUUUCCCUUUUAUCAAUGGCCAGUAAUUCUUUCUUCUACAUCCCUUUGGGUCCCUUUGUAGCUUUUCCUUCUACAUCCCUUUGUAUCUUUGGGUCCCUUUGUAUCUUGUAAUCUACUUGCCUUUGGGUCCUUUUAUUAAUUCUUUCCCGUUUAUAUCUUGUUAUGUCGUAAAUUUUACUGUCUUUAGAAAAACCAUCUUUUAAAAUAUUUUAAGUAUAAAAUAAUUUUAAAAAAAUACUUAAAAAAAAUCUCACUUGAUUUUUUAAUGAAAUUAAGAAAACUUAAUUUAAUUGUUUUUUAACAGAUUAAAUCUUUAUAAAUUUAUAAAAAAUGGGUAAUAAAUUUUUUUUUACGCUUCAAAAGGUGUUUUUUAAGACAUUUGAACCGUCCGCUAACACCAGUUAUCCUACAACUUGACUAACUUUGAAAAAAAUUUAAAGGGAAAAAAAAUCAUUUGAAAUCAAUUGAACUUAAAACUUAUCAAAAUAAUUUGGAAAGGAAAGUAAGCUUUGUCAAAAGUGAUCAAAUAAAGAAAGCCAAUUAAAUGAGAUUUGUUUAAGUGAAAUAAAUUAUCAUAAUAAGAAAUGGCUCAUCUUUAGGAGAUUUUAAUUAAAUUAACCAAUCAAAUAAAGGUUAGUAAAUACAAUAAACAAUAAAUAAAUUAUCACAAUUAAAUAAGUUAGGGGUAAAGGAGAAAUUGAAUUUGGGCCGUUGUUGGGCCUGCUGCUGUAUUGGGCUUUGGACCCAUUUUUGCCUUUCAAAUCCUGUACAUACCCCAAGUGUAUACCGCUGUAUACGGGUCGUAUCUUAGCCCAUUUUUCUGUAUAUCGUACUGUAUGCCAAGUGUAUGCAACCCAUAUCAACUUUCCAGCACUUGUAUCAAUUUUUUGGCCCAGUAUUUGUUGCACUCAACCUGUAUAUUAGUGUAUACUUAGUGUAUACAGUCCAUUUAUGGAUUUUCCGAGGCUUAUGUUUCAACUUCCUUAACCUGUAAGUCAGCAUCUCAAGACCUGUUCAUCACUUUGGCUGACUCGAGAGGAAUAUAAUUCAACAAAAUGCAGGGAUGGUGUCUAAAAUGGACUCAAAUGAAUGUCACAUGUAUCAAAAUAUAUAUGAAAAAGUAUGCAAUAAUGAUGUAUUUGGCAAAUCAAAUAUAACCAUCCGCGCUUCUAUCAUGUUGGCACAACAAAAUAGUAGUCCAACUGUAGUUUAAGACUUUGGUUAGUAAAUUAAUCUAGUCCAUUGAAUGUAUAAGUAGACACGUGUAAUAAAUUUAAAGGCCUACUGGAGGCACUGGAUAGGAUCCAAAUCCAAAAUUUGCCUACUUUUCAUGCAUUGUGGGCCAUUCUUUUUCUCCUCCCUCUAUUAAUUAAUGCAUAUAAUAUAAGUCUCACUCCUUAUUUUGAAUAGCAACUUUAUUACCUUCUCUUUAUUUCUACAUCAUAACUUUUUUCAUUUUAUUUUUUAUGGCAAAAUCAUUUUUUUAAAAUGCUAAUUACUUUAUUUGUUUACCAAACUAGUAUACAUAUUCACGCGUUGCGCGGAUAUUUAAAAUGAAUAAGUUUUUUAAUUUAAAGUAACUAAUACAAUUAACCGAUGAACAUAUUAUGUGUAAUUAUAGUUCUUGAAAUUCAAAUAUUUUAAAAUUUAAAAUAAAAAUAAAAAUUUAUAUCAUAUAUUUAAAAUCGCAAUUUUAAACUUAAACUAAUAUUGUGAAUAGCCUUAAAUUUGCUAAAUAACUUAUAAUUGUGAUAUUGUUCAGGAUAGACUUUAACGCUUCCUAAAUAUAGAUAAAUAUUAUUUAUCCUAAAUUCAAAAACUUAAGUUUUAUUUCUCAUAAAAUUACUUUUCAAUUAUUUUGAAAAUUUUGAUUUUCCUUUUCAAUUUGUUUCGAAAUGGAAAAGGUAGUAGGAGGUUUUAAACUGAUUUUGUUUUUAAAUUGUGAUGGUCAUUAAUAAUUUAUUUAGAUUAAGAAUAAAAUUAAAAAAUAAAAAUUAUUUAGUUGAAUAAUCCCUUUUUUUUUGUACGUACAAUUUAAAUACUAUUUUAUUUUAUUUUGAAUGAAAACUUUUACAAUUUUUUUUAUAAAUUGAAGGUAGAGUAAUGGAAAGUUUAUAUUAUUUAUGUAUUAAUUGGAUUUUAAAUUAUUUUUUUCACAUAAAGUUAAAAUCGAACUAAUACAUAAAUAAUAUAAAUUACUAUUGCUAUUAGGACUAUUUCCAAAUAUAUAUAUAUAGGCUUUUCCUUUGAUGCUUCUCAAAGAGCUAAAUCACUGUUUCUCACAACACAACUAAGAUUGGCAUUCUUCUUUCACAGUUCCAAACCAAUCACUAAUCAUUCAAUUGUUUUUCGCUCAUACAACAGAGUGCCAAUAUAGGCACAUCUCAAUGAGUAUUAACUUGAGUAAAAAUAUAUAUGGACAUUAAGUAGAUUUUUCACGAAGUAGCAAAGUCAAGGCCAUCUAGACGCUAUUUAAAUUCCUGUAUACUUCUACUUGAGUAAUUUAUGGUUUUGAACAGCCAAGACAUUUUCUGCUUAGAAUCUUGAAUAUCUACAACUCUUUGAUAGCUUUUCACUAUGCCAAUUAUCUAAUUGAGUUCUCUGUGAGAUUCCAAACUGAAGAAUUUAAAGACAAUGAACUAUAGCUCACUAGAUGAUAUCUAUAGCAAUAACAUUAACAAGCUACUUCAGUACCACAUAUCAAUCAGAAGCACAACAACAAAAGAUGCUGGGCAGCAACAAUGGACUACAUUCCGUCGGAAUCUAUUCGGUUUUGCAAUUAGAAUUAUGCAAUAUAGAACAAUCAGUUUCAUCAACAAAAACUAAAUUAUUCCAAAUGUAAAUGAAUCAGUUUAUGGCUUCUCUCUUCUACAGCAGAAAUUCAUGGGCUGAUAAAAAUCCCUUGUUCGCUUUUCUGCUCCCCAAUUAAAAAUUUGGAGGCUUAAGAAUCUUUAAAAAUAAUUCCUUGCUCUUGUCUGUUUCUUUGUGAAUAAAGUUCAGAAAACAAAGAAAGAAUUCAUUUGUUAUCCAGCAUCAACAACCAACCCAUACAGAAACGCAAAAUAGAAACAAAACAAACUCACUCCAAACCACAACAGAAUUUUGGGGGAAAAGAAAAAAACAUUGUGUAUUUACUCCAAAGUCGAAUAAAUCAGAAGCAAAAUACUCAAAAGUUCCAAAAUCAAACCAUUAGAAACAUCCAAAAUAUACACCCCAUCAAUCAGAGUAAACAAAAGGCAAGUUUAAAUGCCCCAAAAUCAGCUGGAAUCCUCGAAGCAAAGUGCUCAAAUCAAUCAAACAAAGCCAAAACCUGCAAAGUUCCAAAAUUUAACCCUCAAAAACAUUUCAAAAUUACCCUCCUCUCUAAGACCAACCAAAUCCCCAGUCAAAAUUAUCCCAAAACAAGCACAAAACCUACCCUCUACCCUCAGAAAGUAGGGUAAGGUCUGCUUAACAAUCUAUCCUCUCCGAACCCCACUUAUGGAAUUACACAGAGUAUGCUGUAGUUGAGCUCAAAACCUAGAAAUGAAAUGUUCAAAUAACUGAAAAGUUCCAAACUUUAACCCUUCAAAAAAGAAAAACUC